ensembl:lncRNA
CAAACACCGACGCGUCUGGCGUUUGUCUCGAUCAACACCGGUGUCGCUUCUAUCCGUUUGACACAGUCACGUGACGACCUUUUUGUUUGGUCCGCUUUUUUCCCUGACAACAGUUGGCCUCGAUGGUCCCCACCCGCCUCUCAGCUGACUUCCUAAAUAAAAAAGCCUAAGCAUGCUGCCACGGAGCUCCUUGGCGUGCAGCAACUGAGGAGGAGGAGGAAGAGGACAUGGAGUUUGGGAAGAGCCAUCAGGACGCCACGGCGAAGGAUUUGAUGGAUCUGAGCAACCUGCCCAUGGCGCUCUUCGCAUGAGGCGUCCACAAAGCAGCUUAAACAAGUGUUUAAGGAGGACGUACACAGGGUGAUAUGGAGCAAACUCACCUUCUUGGUUAAAAAUUGGCGCCGUGCGUGUGUAUGCGGCACUAACCCACAUACACACGCAUGUACACACGUAGGGUCAUAAUCACCGUGAUUGAGUUUCAAAUCCAUAUCCUAUUGGGGCGGCGCAGAGUUGAGCCGUGACACACAUCGGGGACUAAAGAUAGCCUGCCGGAGGAUGUGGAGAGCGAGAAGCGAAGGGAGCGCCGGUAUUUGUGUUCUCGUGCGCGCGCAUCACUGACCGUCCAGCAGUGGUUGGGAUACGUUUGCAUGCAGUUCAGACUGUACGGCCUAUUUUUGGUGCCCCCCCCCCCCCCCCUCCCCCUUUAGGGCGGGUGAACGUGAGGCAGCGGGUGCUUCGGGAGGCUGAAGGUCAGACAUGAUGCGGCGCGGAGCGACUGGGGGCCCUGCAAGU